rnacentral:lncRNA from 1 species
GGGAGACUGAAACGACGGGUUUGCCUCUAGCUGAAUUGGCUGGUGAGCUCUAGAGAUAGUGAGAGAGCCUGCCUUAAAAAGGAUACGGUGCAGAGUUAAGGGGAAGAAAUCAGUGUUCAGAUCUGGGCUCCACGUGCAUGAGGCCCUGAACUUACGUCUGCGAAUGUGCACGCACGCACGCUCGCACGCACGGACAGAAGCAUUAGAGCUCACCCCUAACUCCUUCAGUUCUACACAGACCUAACUAGUUCCUUCAUUAAAAGGAGCUAAUAGUUUGUAAUUUUGGCAUAUAAUUCUUCCAGCACUGUGCGUGGUUGGUUGUCCUGUUUCAGGGUAACUUGCCCCUGUGCCGUGUCGGGCUUUUAUAUUUUAAUAGGAUUCUUUUCCGUGUUCUGGACCAGCCUGGAUUGAAUGAUGCCCCCUGGGCUGGCGUGGCCAUAGGUUGUGAAGAUAAACGAGCCAGACAACUCUCCCUGUCCUGGCUGUUCUAGACUGCAGACAAUCCCCCAUGGCAUCGGUUGCCUCUGUGAUCACUGUGGUGGACCACGAUGCUGGUAGCAUGCAGCUAGCUCCUUCACAGCCAUGCCCAGUGGCAGAACUAUGCCACUCUCCCGAUGGCUGUCCGGUUCACUGUAAAGUGUACUUGUUGCUAAGUAACA